rnacentral:rRNA from 1 species
UGGGGAAUAUUGGACAAUGGGCGCAAGCCUGAUCCAGCCAUACCGCGUGGGUGAAGAAGGCCUUCGGGUUGUAAAGCCCUUUUGUUGGGAAAGAAAAGCAAUCGAUUAAUACUCGGUUGUUCUGACGGUACCCAAAGAAUAAGCACCGGCUAACUUCGUGCCAGCAGCCGCGGUAAUACGAAGGGUGCAAGCGUUACUCGGAAUUACUGGGCGUAAAGCGUGCGUAGGUGGUUGUUUAAGUCUGUUGUGAAAGCCCUGGGCUCAACCUGGGAAUUGCAGUGGAUACUGGGCAACUAGAGUGUGGUAGAGGGUAGUGGAAUUCCCGGUGUAGUAGUGAAAUGCGUAGAGAUCGGGAGGAACAUCCAUGGCGAAGGCAGCUACCUGGACCAACACUGACACUGAGGCACGAAAGCGUGGGGAGCAAACAGGAUUAGAUACCCUGGUAGUCCACGCCCUAAACGAUGCGAACUGGAUGUUGGGUGCAAUUUGGCACGCAGUAUCGAAGCUAACGCGUUAAGUUCNCCNNCUGGGGAGUACGGUCGCAAGGCUG